CCUUUUUUGUCCUUUUAUAGAUGGUGUUCUGUGGGUGAGAGUAAAUGGGCUGUGAAAGGAGAUGAAGAACUUGUACCUUUCAGCAACUGUGGAGUUAUCAGAGUAAAGGAUUCAGAUGCAAUUGGAAGAAAGAUACAGAGCAGACUAGAUUUACACAGCUUAGAAAAAAACAAGCAUCCGUAUCACUUAGUCUUAUGGAGAAUCAAUUGAUUUAUGCACUAUCAAAAUCCAGAGUAAGUGUGACCAUGACACACACUGACUAGAUCAGUUUGCAACUCCUCAGAGGAGAGUUGGCACAGCAGUGGGAAUUUCCAUUUCUGCUUCCUCACUGAGGCUGUGACUGCUUGUGGGCAGUUAGCGGGCCAGCCCUAACCUAUGGAGUGUAGAGGGGACAACAGGAUGUCUCACCAACAACCAAGGUGAGGAACACCACCUGGGUGUGGAGUGAGAGCCAGCUCAGCACCUGCAGAUGAACCAUAUGGGGCCAGCACAGCCCGGCCUGGGGCAGGGAUUGGGGCCUGGCUCCUUCUGUCCUCGGCUCUGGCCCAGGUCACCCCGAGUGCUUCCUCUCUGCCCUGCCCACUGUGGCCCUCACACCCCUGGGGGAGGCACCUCAGAGCUAUCUGGAAAGGAGCUGAGACUGGAACCAAUCCC